rnacentral:rRNA from 1 species
GACGAACGCUGGCGGCGUGCCUAGUACAUGCAAGUUGAGCGCUGAAGGUUGGUACUUGUACCAACUGGAUGAGCAGCGAACGGGUGAGUAACGCGUGGGGAAUCUGCCUUUGAGCGGGGGACAACAUUUGGAAACGAAUGCUACUACCGCAUAAAAACUUUAAACACAAGUUUUAAGUUUGAAAGAUGCAAUUGCAUCACUCAAAGAUGAUCCCGCGUUGUAUUAGCUAGUUGGUGAGGUAAAGGCUCACCAAGGCGAUGAUACAUAGCCGACCUGAGAGGGUGAGCGGCCACAUUGGGACUGAGACACGGCCCAAACUCCUACGGGAGGCAGCAGUAGGGAAUCUUCGGCAAUGGACGAAAGUCUGACCGAGCAACGCCGCGUGAGUGAAGAAGGGUUUCGGAUCGUAAAACUCUGUUGGUAGAGAAGAACGUUGGUGAGAGUGGAAAGCUCAUCAAGUGACGGUAACUACCCAGAAAGGGACGGCUAACUACGUG